rnacentral:misc_RNA from 1 species
UAUUUGGCAAUAUUGUCCCAGUUUCAGUACUUUCACUAGUAAUACCUGUUCAGGCACCCUACAAAAUUCUCUUAGCAGUUGGCAAAGGAUCUGGUUCGUUUGAAGUAUGGACAUGUGCAUAUCUAGUUGCAAGUUUGAUAAAGCUUGUUCACAGGAUGCUCACGACUAUGUUGUUACUGGUUUAGCUUGGGCUUUUGAUGGGUGUUGUUUGUACAGCUGUG